UCUCAUGCAGGUUUUAUAAACCAUUCAGAGAACUGUGCAGCUGGACCAGAAGUGAUGCUCAGCUCUGGACUGCCUAUACAACAUGCUCAGGAUGCUCAGUGCUGGGAAGAUCUGCCUUCUGAAUAUGAGAGCAAGUUGCUCGCUAUGACAACUGUGCUGUUUGCUAAGCAGGUACUGUGAACGAGAACUGGAUGGAUACUCAUAGAUGGGCUCCUGGACAUGAGCUUCUGCACCAGCUGUGCUGGUAUUUUGACCAAAGGCCAUCCAAGCAUUUCCAUGUUGGAGGGGGGGGGGAUUCCAGUGCGCUUCCAUGAGCUGGAUGGCCCCCUCAGUGCUGCAUGUUCGGGCACACCAGCAGCCAGCGGCCUAUACAGCAUUUGCAGUGCUGCCUGCGGGACCGCAUCCCACACCAGUGGCUCCGCAUCAGUGUCUGGCAGAAACAGCAACGUGGCAACCCUUUCCUGAGCAAAGAAAAGGAAGUGAGACACAUGAGAGCAGAGAUCCAGCUGGGUAGGUGUAAGCAGGACCAAAACACCCCAUCAGCUGCACCAUGCCAGUUUUCUCCACAUCCUGACAGUACGCUGCAGAAAGCAAGCUGGGCAUUUGCCGGGCUGCACUUCCUCCCGCCUCUCCCUCCAAAUGUCUGGCUUCUUUCAGAAGGCUUUGUCUUCCCAUGAGAAAUAACCCAGCUGAAUAUAUGUUCUUGAAAGGAAAAUCACAGGAGACAGACAGCAACGACCUAUUAAGUAAUUGAGUCCAUCUCUCUGACAGUGCAGCAUUGUUCCCAACUGCAGAGUGUCUCGUGUUUCAAAGUUGAGUCUUAAAUAACCCUGCCAGUGAGGACUCCACCAUUUCCCAGUGAGACUAUUCCACAGCCUGCCAGAUUUCACUGUCGAGCAUCAUCCCUUAGACUCAGCUAUGCAAUCCCCCAGUAUCCCUCGCUGCGACCAGGGCAGGGCUUUCCCCUGCUGUGGAAAACGAGCCCACCAACUCCCUGUCCAAGGCCAACAGCUGGCACCGCUGGCGAGUUGAACGGCACGGCCCUGGCUGCGCUCCUGCUUUCCAGCCCCGCAGCAAGGGGCAUGGGCGAGAGGUACGAGAGGGCCCCAGCGGGGCUGCGGACGGCGAGCCCCGGGCUAUGAGCCGGAGCGGCUGCGCCAAUGCUCGCAGCUGCCCCACGCUCGGCUUGCUUCAGGCUGGGGGGUCUUGCAGCACAGGUGAGAUUCGCUCUCCAGAGCUGCACUUUGGUCUGAUCUCCCAGCUUUUUUAUGUAGUUGCAAAUUUAAUUCAUGUGGCACUUAUUUCUAAAUGAAUUUCUAAAUGAAAUGAGAUAUCGAGUAAAACUGAACUUAGCAAUUCCCUGCUGAACUCAGCUAAAAACCCUUUUCCCCUUUUAUGCAAGUUGUAGGUUUCACUGCCUGCGCUCCUCUCAUGUCUGUGCUAGCAUUCAGCUACUCUGAGUUACUUAAGAGAAUAACCAAACAACCUAAACCUUAAUUAUAAUACAUUUACUGUUUUUCUUCAACCUCUAGCUCUUCAACUGUAUCAGAACAAUCCAGCUCACACUGCAACACUUAAUUUAUAUAAUCACAAGGUUCAGCGAGCCUCCAGUAAUUCAUUAUUUUCCUUUUUAUUGUUACUUGAGGUCUCUUUGCCUGAGACAACUGAAUAUAUUGCUUGGUACAGCGUUACAUUUUAGUCCAGGAACCAGACAGUUAAUUCGUUUCCUUAGACGUGCACACGAGCCUGUGUGCUGUUCUGGGUUAGCAUGAAAGCAGAUAGAGCUACUUAACGUUCAGUACGGUAGGUGCAUUUAUUAAGUAUUUGUGUGGCUACCAAAAGUUUUGAGAACUCAUCUUUCCUACUUCCUCCCUAAACAAGCUGGGCUGUGGCUCAAACCUCCUCCCUUUCAUAGUCCUUUUUCUGUGAAGACUGCAAACCAAAGCGAUGGCUGCUGUUCAGCUCCUUGGUGCAUAUGAGGGAGGGAAGGUUUGCCAACAAAGAAAGGACGCAGGGAAGACAGGAUACAAAAUUUUAAUGGGCUGCUCUUUAAUGUAGUGAAGCAUUUUUUUUUUUUGGUAAUGAAAACAAAACAUGAAUUUUGAGGCCUUUGUGGAGUGCCCUGAGCUGUAUUUCUUCACCAGCAAAAUUACUGCUGGGGAAAGAAACUUGCAGAGUGUUGAAAGACUUAACUGCCACCCCAAAAACAGAGUGAUGAAUAGUUUAAGGAUUUAUUUGACAUUUUAGGGGGCCGCUGUGUUCCAAGAACAAGCUUCACUGCAGCGUGUUGUAAUGCUGCAUGCAGAAAGUGCUCCUGCUUCUCCCUCCUCACCAGUACAAACUGUACCUGCAGUAAGUCUAUCAGAAAAUGCAACUGUGAGAGCACAAAGUGAACCCAAAUGACAGCUUUGAGGAAAUUUUUGCAUGUUGGCUGUACCUGGGAUGUGUAAAGCCAUGGACACACAGUGACUGACAGCUCCGCAACCUGAUGCACUCAGCAGAUGGGUCUCAGACUGCAUAGCAGACACCGCCAUGUGCAGAGAAGUUUGGAAGGGAAAUGUGUGCAGGCUGUCAGGACAUCAGCAAGUGCAAGGGGAUAGGAAUGGCUUUGCACUGCGCAAACUUGAUAUUCCACCAGACAUAAGGUGCCAGGCUGGCAGGAGGGCUCAGGCUCCCUCCAGCUUGCGGUGCAAGUUCCUGAGUUGUGGAGAGCGGCUGCAGCUCUCGGACUGGGCAAUGGUCACCCCAAAAUGGUUGCUUUUGUGAGCAGUUGUGGUGCCCGGUACUGGCAGACAAAGCAGGUAAUGGCAUUUUUCGGGAAUUGCUGCUUGCUUAUGGCAUGUGGGAGUGGUACUUCCAGGGCUGUCUGUAAAGCAGUGGAAGGCAGAGGAAAACACAGACCAGGCAAAAAGAGCUGCACUUAGAUCCUACAGAGAUGGGUGAGUCUCAGCAGCGACUGCUUCUGCAGUAUUCCCACCUUUUGGAAGAGACAAUUCACUUCUUCAUUUAAAAAUGCUUUUAAUAUUUGUUUUCCCAGAUUUAAUUUCCAGAGAGCAGACCAAGCCAGGCUCAAGCAAAGCAGUCACAAAGCUUGCUUUCCCACUGCCUCCGCCUUCCUGGCCACAUCUCACUGUGCUUCACGCUGUCCUCCCCGUGCGAGGCUCUUCCCAGCCAUGCCUUUCUCCUGAACCACUCCCAGCCACUGCCCUACGCAUGCUGCCCACCCAGACCCUUGCAGGGCUCCAGCUCCCGGCCACCAUGACUGCAUGCCCCUGCAGAGCUGUGUUAGGAGGGGGCUGGCGCCCAGCCUCCCGCCCAACAGCUCUCCUGCUUCCUCCAGCCCAGCCGGCUGCUCUUCAGUCCUCUUCCCAACAUCUAGAACACAACCUGUUGAUCCUAUUUCUACAAUUUCUUUGUGCUUCUGUUGUUUCUGCUGAAGGCUUUUUUUGCAUUUUUCAACAAUGUUUAGCCAAAAUGCCAGGGGGCAAGUUUCUAGCUUUAUACGGAUUUCACUAUGAUAUUAAGAUCUCCUUUUAUUAGAUUAAAAACAAACAGCACAGCCAGCCAACCCACAAGGACAAGAGCGCCAGUAAAUUCUUUUCUGAGCUCUUUGGACAGGGAAGGAAGCUGUGUGCUGCGUUUAAGCAUCUACAGACAACCACUGCUACCCACACACCCCGAUAGCGCUUGCUACCAUUUUCCAUGUGGGGACCGUGCAGGCUUCAGGCUCCCUGCAGCGCUUGUCAAAAGGUGAGCAUGGGACGGGAGGCUGCACACAGGGCAGCGAAUCCAGCCCUGCUGCAGUCCUCACCACAUAUGAUCUCAUCCAGAGACUUAUCCAGCUCCAUCUUGGAGCAGUCAGGGAUUUUUGCUCUCUGGAGCACUCUGUCUUCCCAAGAUUCUUGCCAAGCAGCGGCAGUGGAGCCACACAAAGCACAUCACGUGUCGGGAGGUUCAGGAGCACUUUGGGAGAGGUGAGGGUUUUUUGGGGGGUUACUGCUUUCUCUUCCUGGUCCAGUUUAGCUGUUUUCUUGACAGCUCCCUUUUUGAACAGAAAACUGAAGUUCUUUCUUACUAAAUCUGGUUCCAGGGGCCUUGAGAGGAGCACCAAGUACAGUGGGGCUUGGAGGAAAAUCAGCAGUGUCACUGUGCCAAGCACCCGCAGAGCCUCUGCUCCUGCACCCCGCUGCAGCCCCCUGCCACCCGGCCCGUGCUCCUACCAGCCCGCACAGCAACGCUGCGUGAGUGAAACCCUUUAUCACAACAUUGCACUAAAAGUAUUAAUUUAAGUAAUUACAUGAUUAAUAUUUAACCAUUCAGUGAUAUUUUUGUCAUUCAUAAUUCAGUUGUUUGCAUUUAUUAAAAAUUGAUUCUGUAGACACUUUUUCUGCCCAAUGUCAAUUCAGCGGGGAGCAUGCAUUUUAGAGAACUGUCAUUCAAUGUGGCUCUCUUCUAAUUUCAUGGGAGGAAAAUUACGGGAGAAGAAAGGGAAAGGCCUGUCGGUGAGCCCCUCCAGCAUGUGGGUCUGUGCUCUGCUUGGUUCCCUCCUCCGUCCCUGCUGCUCCAUGCCGAUGCAGAGCAGGCUGACAGGAGCUCUGCAGCUCCUCUGCUCUGUGCACGAAGUCUGCCGGCUGUGCGCAGCUGCCGGCCGCUGUGGAGAUGGAGGAGGAGGUGGUAGCGGUGGGAAAUGCGGCAGAGAAGAGGAAGAGGGUUGUUUAGGGCUGGGACAGACCAAGGGGCCAAACCUUUGAGCACAACCUGAAACCGCUCCAUGGGAUGUGCUAGCAGUGUCCCAGGUGUGCGAGAAGAGUCCCGCCACGGCUGCUGAGCAGAAAGGGCUGCUUCUCUCUUAAAUAUUUGUUCAAGGUGGGCACGACAGAUACUGUUAGCUGCUUUGAGGAGAAAAAACAUGCUGUGAACUGGAGCAGAGGUGCUCAAGAGAUGGGAGCAUAUCACGCUGCCUCUGAUAUGGCUACCUGGACAGCUACACAGUUGUUGUCACUGGUCCUGCCACAGGACAGCAGCUUCUGGGAAAGGAAAGCCAGAAGCAGGCAGGACAGCAGAGCCCUGCGCAAUGCGGGGCUGGUGCCAGGAGGCAGGGCCCCGGCCUGGGACUGCUCAGUGCCACCCAUACCAGCACUGCCUGGAGCUGGCAGGGAUCUUUACAGCUGCAUUUUUCACGUUUCCCAUUAUUUUUACUGUAAAACCGAGUUGUGUCAGACUCAGUCAAGGGUUUGUGCACAAGCUCCCAGCAGAGCAAAGCAUAAUGGAGAGAGCGCCCGCAGCCACUUUUCCAAGGGACGCAGCCUGUCUGGGCAGCGGGCAGGUGUGGCCGCAGGAGGGACAGGGACAGGGACAGCCUGGCUGAGCACCAAAGGGGUGUCUUGGGUCUUCUGCCCCGACGGGCGCUAGGAGGGAGGACACUAAAACUGUCUGCCAGGACACAUGCUGCCCCGUGCCCGGCACAGCCAGGCACAUGGCUAAAGGUUGCAUCUGCCUGCAGAAGUUUUUCUGAUCUGCCUCCGUUUAAAACUUCAGCUCCAUACCACACUUUCACAACCUGCUGCCCAACCACUAAUUUUUCUGAUUAUGGGAAAAUAACACUGAGGAGAGGCACUGUCUGAAGCAGGGGUCUCUGCACACAACCUGGCCGCGUUAUGCUGCAGAAACACCGCGCGGGCUUCGCUGUUACGGCUCUGCAACGGUUUCUAUUAUAAUCAAAGAUAACAUCUUGACCACCUCAGAUUGCUCCAGGCACACACUUGGCUCAGAGGGUGUUCGAGCCAGGGAGAAUUUUGAUUUAAGCAUCUUUCAAAUCUUUUAUUUGUAUAGUGACAGGAAAAAGUGUGUGUCAGCGGAGAGUCUGAGUCUUGAACUGGGGACAUAAACUGCUGCUCUGCAAACUAUGAACAUCACGCAGCCACACGUGGUGUGGGACCAGUCCGUGUGCCUGCAGACACAGAGGGGUGCCCCCAAGGGCAGGGGAGAUCCAGCACAUGGAAGCCCAGGCCAGGCACAGGUUUCAUGUCCCAGGCUUCAAGCCCGGGGACAGCACCCACGUUUCUCCAGGGCAGCAUCAGCCACCAGCACGCUGCAGGCACUGCCCAGCCCCAUACACGCACUGAUCAGCUCUGGACCCUUCAAUCCUGAUGGCACAAGCCAGCGACCACAGAUACACAAGUACAAAACUGAUCUGUGAGAAACAAAUGGAAACACUAAAAGCCUGUAACAUCCCCCACCCCACAUCUCUCCAUUCCUGACACCACCAGUGUAUCUAGUAGUACAGUCCUGUCUUGGCAGAGGGAUGAAUGAGGUAACUCACAAGGUAACAGGCUUAUCCAUCUCUAAGUGCUGUAACCUUGCAUGCCUGCUUUCUAACGUUGGCCCUGGAAUGCCAUAGGAGUUUUCUGAGCCAUGUGCUCACUUUGCAGUGCUUCUGAAGGAUAUUACACUCAUUAACUAUUAAGGACCUGAAGGAACUGCAGGAUCUGUUACCUAGAUUUAAUACUUCAUAUUUUGCUUGAAUAGAUAUUCAGGCUUGGAUAUCUAUUUUUACAAUAGAUCAGAGCUAGUAUCAACAUGUAUUUUUAAAAGUCAAUAAUCCAGAAAGAACAUUAUCAUCUACCACCCUGAAUCCUUCUUACAA